rnacentral:rRNA from 1 species
UACAGAGGUGGCAAGCGUUGUUCGGAAUUACUGGGCGUAAAGGGCGCGUAGGCGGUUCGUUAAGUCCUGUGUGAAAUCCCCCGGCUCAACUGGGGAACUGCACAGGAAACUGUCGGGCUUGAGUUCGGGAGAGGGAAGCGGAAUUCCGGGUGUAGCGGUGAAAUGCGUAGAUAUCCGGAGGAACACCGGUGGCGAAGGCGGCUUCCUGGACCGACACUGACGCUGAGGCGCGAAAGCUAGGGGAGCAAACGGG